AACCCUGACCCAGCAACGCCGCGUGAAGGAUGAAGGCCUUCGGGUUGUAAACUUCUGUGACGGGGGACGAGGUAUGACGGUACCCCGAGAGGAAGCCACGGCAAACUACGUGCCAGCAGCCGCGGUAAUACGUAGGUGGCGAGCGUUGUCCGGAAUCACUGGGCGUAAAGGGCGCGUAGGCGGCUUGACAAGUCGCAUGUGAAAAACCAGGGCUCAACUCUGGGGGGUCAUGCGAAACUGUUUGGCUUGAGUGCAGUAGAGGGAAGCGGAAUUCCUGGUGUAGCGGUAAAAUGCGUAGAGAUCAGGAGGAGCACCGGUGGCGAAGGCGGCUUUCUGGCUUGUAACUGACGCUGAUGCGCGAAAGCGUGGGGAGCAAACAGGAUUAGAUACCCUGGUAGUCCACGCGGUAAACGAUGAUUACUAGGUGUGGGUAUCGCANGAUAUCCGUGCCGGAGCAAACGCAAUAAGUAAUCCGCCUGGGGAGUACGGCCGC
rnacentral:rRNA from 1 species